UUUUAACCCCUUUCCCCUUCCAGAGCCAGGCGGGAGGGGGACCCUGAGGGUGGGGGCACCCUCAGGGCACUAUAGUGCCAGGAAAACGAGUAUGUUUUCCUGGCACUCUAGUGGUCCUUUAACAAUGUAAUCCUAGUUACAUCUACUAGAUGAGGCAGGUACAACUCAAUGCAUUUUGCCGAUUGAUACUAUGGCUGGGUAUUACUUUUACAGGAACAGUAUAGUCCCCCCAAAUAAUUGUUAAAGGGUUUUUUUAAGUUACCAAGGCAGAUAAUUAAAUGACCCCUUUACUCACCAGUAGCCCAGCACCAAGACAGCAUCUUUUCUGCAGCCCAAUUUUCCUCCACGCCAUCAUGCUCGACGACUAUUUUGUCCAAUCAGAUGCUUCUCGUAGAGGAUGCGUGGCAGGCACGCUCUCAUGGCAGCCUGUAUCGUACAAUGUGUGAGGAUGGUGAACGUCAAGAACGGAUUUUGACUCUGUUCUUGCAACUCACACAUCCAGCUCAAACAGCUUUAUUAAAUGUAAACCGUGUCAGGAUUAUUCAUUCAAGUAAGGAUCCAAAGCGAAUGUCAAAUCUAAUGCCAAAUAGCUGAACAGGAACUGGACUUCGAGAAUGUUCCCAGUACGGUUAUUUUUUAACCUUAAAUUUUAAACUCACUUUGAAUUCUCACGUUAGUAAAUAAUCCUGCGUGUGUUGCUUUGUAAUCGAAAGAAAUAUGGCUGCCAUUUUAACUUCUCUUCUAGUAAAGAAGUAACCGUUAAAACCAGCAUUUAGUGUCCUUAUUAAAUAAGAGAAUUAUUGUACUAGAUCACUUUUAGAAAACGCUAAAGCAUGCUGUGACUCCGAUUGGUUAGAGUGUAUCUGGAUACUGUGAGACGGAACUACAGUCAUGGGGGAAGAGAAAGUACACCUUCUGAAUUCUAUGGUUUUACAUUUCAGGACAUGAUAAUCAUCUGUUGAUUAGCAGCUCUUAAAAUUAGAUGAACUUCAGAACUUAAAUACAACCUCGGAUGAACAAUACAUGACAGAUGUAACUCGUGUGGGUUUUUUUUGUUGCUAUUUCUCUGAGCGUUGUGCAUCUAGUCUUAGGGUAAAUUUGCUGGGACGUCCACUCUUGUGAAGAUAGUCUUGAAUGGUUUCCACUUUUGAAUAAUCUUUCUCACUCUAGAAUGAUGGACUUUACAUUUUUGAAAAUGGCCUUAUGACCCUUCCCAGUGUGAUGGGCAGCAACAAUUGCUUCUCUAAGAUCAUUAUUUUCCUCCUUGGCAUUGUGUUAACACACACCUGAAUGCUCCGGACCAACAAACUGCUAAAUCGUCGGCUUUUAUAGAGGUGGUUACACUUGCUGAUGGUCAAUUAAACAAGGGUAUUUGAUUAGCAGCACCUGUCUGCUACUUAGCCUUUUAAUUCCCACUGGAGCAGUAAGAGUGUACUUCAUGUUUCACACAUGGCUUCUCCAUUUUGGCUUUAUUUUUAUUAAAUCAUGAUACUGUAAUAUGCCAUGCAUUGUUUUUUAUCUGAGUAUUUACCUAAUUUUAAGACCUGCUAAUGAAAAGAUGGUUAUUAUUAAUAUGUCCUAAUAUGUAAAACCCUAGAAUUCUAAGUGGGUGUACUUUCUUUUUCCCAUGACUGUAUAUACGUGUAGACAUUGGAUCAUUUGUUUACACAAUAAAUAUGAGUAUGGUGGUGUCUUUGCCAGAGGGCCAGCUGAAUGAAUACAUGAUGUGCACUCUUUGGCCUGGCUGAGGCUUGUUUUGCGUAGUGUACCUAGAAUCUUGGGGGUUAUCCACUAAACAGCAAGCUGUGUGCACAGAAAUGGUUUGCAAAAUGUAGGAUAAAAUAGCAUUUGAGAGAACAAUUCCAAAUCUGCAUUAUUCUUUUUCUUUCUUUUUGGUUGUUGUUCCAGCUCUGCCCGUUUGUCUGAAAUCUUUCAAAAAGGUUGUGAAAUCACUAGAAGUUGCUGCUUAGGGAGUGGAAUCCUAUUUUUUGUAUUUUAGCAUCACUCAGUAGAUAGGGCCAUUGUCACACAAUAUGACACCGUAGACCAGCCCGCUGUCUGUAUAUAUUGUGCACAGAUAAGUGUUUGACAGAUUUGACAGCUGCUAUUCAUGUAAAACACAUUGUCGCCAUUAUAAAGGGAAUCUCUUGUUUAAAGUCUCAAUCGUAACAUUUUCUCAUAAACCCUGUUUUACAAAUUGCAGUAUGUAUAUUCUCUGUAUUAUUAUAUACCCCUAAAUAAGCUAAUAUGAUUACUUUACCCCUAGAAUGAUGUUCUUAAUGUUGCUGCUUUGGCAGUUUUUACAAACCCACCCAGUCUCAGUGAAUAAAUUCCUGACAGGUUUGCUUUAACAUAAGUGCAGUCAAUAUUUGGUUCAAAUAACAGUAACAUUGAAUGUGCUGGGAUAUUCACAGAUUCAUCGUUUAUAGAUCAUCAUGUCAGAUACAAUAGCCUGUUACCCUCGUGUUCCCAUAAAUCUUUGCCGGCCACUCAUUCUGUUCUUGGCUGGUACAGGUUACAGAGAGUUCUACUUUACUAUUCCCUUACUCGGUCAUUGUGAAGCAGGUGUAUCAAAAUCUGAAUAGACUUUUUUCCAAAUCGUCUGCUUUGGCCUAUAAUUUGCAAUGCCCUUUUUAUCGCUCCACAGGCCGUUGUUUAUUAAAUUAUUGGGGCCCUUCCCUUGUUAAAUAUGUUGCGUCCUUAAUGCAUUAAACUGGAGAAAGGUUUUAUUAGAAAUCUUUCCUACAUGAUGAGGAGGCUGAGGGGCUGUUGAAUAUCAUAAUUCUUUAGAUUAUCCUUACUGGAGAGAUCUUUAUUUAGUGCAUCUGGGGAUUUAAGGUUUAAAAUGAUAAAUUAAUAUAUACUAACCUACUGAAUAAUUACCAAUGGUAGCAAAAUAUCUAACAUUUUAAUGUGUAUUGAAUUAGAAAGCUCUCUAACUCUCCCAUGUGAGUGGAACAGAUAACCUAGGAGCGAGUUUGAACUCUUAGGGUUAAUUACAAACUUAUGCUUUCCUUAAACAAAAAAUACAGGCUUAACCCAAACCGACCACGCACUAGUCAACAGUAUAUUGCCCUCUCCAAUCAAGGACACAAUGUAGCAAGGGACAUGUUCUCAUAUAGGAGAGAAUCGUUGAGAAAUCAAAGUGAAUUUUAAAUUUAAGGUCAAAGCCAGAUUGGGAGAAUUUUCCCAGUUUGAAAUUCCCAACAAUUCUCACUCUAGUCCAGGGAUAGGCAACCUUCGGCACUCCAGAUGUUGUGGACUACAUCACCCAUAAUACUGACAAAGAAUCAUGGGAGGUGUAGUCCAAAACAUCUGGAGUGCCGAAGGUUGCCAAUGCCUGCUCUAGUCAGUAACCCUGAUAGUGUCAGCUGUGAAGCCACUUGUAGGCUGAAAAAAAUGAAUUCUUUGUACAUUACAGUUUGUACGCCCAUGGAUUUGGAACUGGUGCUUUUGUAGCAAACUCAGUCAUUGUAAACAUUCGGAACCUGAAACAGCAUUGUCUUUCUAACGCCUUGGUUCUACAAUGUCUAUUGGCUAGAUCAAGUUUGGGUGGGAUUUAAAUUCUCCUAAUACUGUUUAGUACUCAAUGUAUGGUUUUAAUAAUUAAUACUUUUAUUAGUCUUGUGUACUAAGAUGUCAAUUGCCACAUAAUGGUAUUACUUUGUGCCCUUGCCCCCUUGCCAUUUGUUGUGUCUAGAUACAUACAUGUGUAAUAAUAUAAUUGUUGCCAGGUUUUUAUUAUGUUUCUGAUGUGGUGGGAACGGUAUGGGACAGAUUUGUAUUUCUAUAUAGUGCUGGUCUUUCUAUUAGAGAAAAUCUGAGUUACUUUCCUUAAAUACUGCAAGACAUGACAAUGUUUGCACGGCAGUAUGUGGGCAUUAUAGUGUAAUUCUAAUAUAAGAAUAGAGUGCAUAUCAAAAUAUAAUAUUUUAGAGAGCAAAAAAAACUGACAUCCUAACUAAAUUAUACAUAACGAAGAUUAUCUUGCCAUACAAGCUUGGACAGUUUCUCCAACAUGUAGGGCAUUUUGUAACAUUCUAACAAUAUAGAUAUAAGUUUCCAUAUAUUGAUAGAUCGUACAUUAGUCUAAAUAAAUGCUUCGUUGCUCUGUAGGAAGCAAUAUCCUUCUGUACAUGUUAUUACCUUGUGUGUAUUGCAGCAACGUCCUGCUUGUCCUCGGGUGUAACACGUAACACUUGAUUGAAGUUUAAAAUGAAUUUAGAAAGUGUAAUUUCAUAUUAUAUACAUAUAUAAAUUGUUUAACCGUCCAUUUAAAUAAUUUAAACCUGAUGUUUGCAAAUAUCAUAAAAUCAGGAUUAUUGGGAUAUUGAAAUGACCACUGCCAAUCUACUUGUAGAAAAAAAAAAAAAAGUAGUUUCUUUGUUUAAGAUUGACUUACUCAGGGAUGUUAAUUAGAAGGUUUUAAUAGUACGUGUGCACCAGCAGUAGUCAAUAUGUUUGGUCGCUGGGCAAUCUAUAUAUUUUAGAUGGUAAUGAAGUUAACUACCAAAAAAUGUAUAUCUCCAAAUGUUUCUUUCAAGGAAUGGAAACUGUUACACACAUGUUUUCUAAAGUCUAUUUAUCUGAGACCCUUGUCUUUCAGCUAUUAUUUCCCUUUGAGAGGGAAGUUUUGCACUAAACAAAAUUGAUAUAGAUAUAAUUAUUUGUUAGAAGUGUGAUAAUAUAUUCAUAUUUGACUGAGAUACCCACGUUUGAAGUCCUACAUACACAGGUUUAGAGGAGAUUUAGGGUUUUAAUUCUGCAAAUUUAGAAGCAUGGCACAUCUAAGUGCUGAACUAUCCGUUUUGUUUGACUCUCUAAUGUAACUACGAGGUACUGUUUUGCCUUAACAUUUUCAAAUAAAAUCUAUUUUAAAACGAAUGUGCAAAUUUUUUAUUUAUUUAUUUGUUAACAAG
rnacentral:lncRNA from 1 species